rnacentral:rRNA from 1 species
GGCUCAGGAUGAACGCUAGCGGCAGGCCUAAUACGAUGCAAGUCGAACGGCAGCACGGACUUCGGUCUGGUGGCGAGUCGGCGAACGGGUGAGUAAUAUAUCGGAACGUGCCCAGUCGUGGGGGAUAACGUAGUGAAAAUUACGCUAAUACCGCAUACGAUCUAAGGAUGAAAGCGGGGGAUCGCAAGACCUCGCGCGAUUGGAGCGGCCGAUAUCAGAUUAGGUAGUUGGUGAGGUAAAGGCUCACCAAGCCAACGAUCUGUAGCUGGUCUGAGAGGACGACCAGCCACACUGGAACUGAGACACGGUCCAGACUCCUACGGGAGGCAGCAGUGGGGAAUUUUGGACAAUGGACGCAAGUCUGAUCCAGCCAUUCCGCGUGCAGGAUGAAGGCCCUCGGGUUGUAAACUGCUUUUGUACGGAACGAAAAGGUUUCUAUUAAUACUAGGAGCUCAUGACGGUACCGUAAGAAUAAGCACCGGCUAACUACGUG